AGUGUGCCUGGCUAUUCAGAAAUAAUUAUACUACUUGAUGAACCAUGGUACUGUCUCCUCUUGUCUUCCUGUUUGAUUACAGAUCAGAUAUCAGCACUUAAUGGAUACAGGGAAGUGAGUGUGAUACAGAUGGGAUCUUACCUGCCAGCUGCGGCAAAGCCACCACAGAGACGUGUAUCUCUUCAACAUAAGAAAGUUAACCUAAAACCCACAGAAUUAUUAUUGCACCAACCACAUAUCCUGGAAUAUAUCUCUGCAGAUUUAAGUCUUAGGGUGCAUUAUCUCCAUGCUCUGAUGUAAUGUGUGCGACUAUUUGCUUGGAUAAUGCUCCUAUUGCUGACUUCUAGAAAUCUCUCAAUCUUUCAUAUUGGCAGGGACCUCUGGAGAUCAUCUGGACCAAGCCCCCCAGUCAGGCACAGCCACCUAGAGUCAAUUGUCCAGGACCAUGUUCAGACAGCUUUUGAACAUCUCCAAGGAUGAAGACACCACCACUUCAAGGCAGACUGUACCACAGCUUAGUCAUGCUUACAGUGAACAAGAGUUUUCUGAAGUUCAGAGAGAACCUCCAGAAAGUCCUAUUCUGCAAAGCUGCGUUUCAGCCUGGAGGAUCCCAGAUGUUUAAUGAGGAUGUUAAACACGACUGGACACAUUUCUGACCCCUGGGGUACAGUGUUGCUUAAUGGUCUCAGAAAGUGAGUAAUCUUUCAGUUAUUGGCUGAAUAUUUGAUUUCUAAUUUUCAACCUCAAUGUAAAAUAGUAAAACUUUAU